rnacentral:rRNA from 1 species
GCUCAUUACAACAGCUAAAAUUAGCAUGGAAAAUUUUGUUGGAUACUUUCAGUAAUUCUGGAGCUAAUACAUAUGUGCGUUUCGGCGUCAUUUAUUAGAUUCACCAGCCUGCUUGCAGACUAGUGAAGACUCUGAAUAUCUUGCGGACCGUAUGCGUAAGCGACGGCAAUUCAUGCAAUUAACUGCCCUAUCAACUAUUGAUGGUAGUUUAGUUGACUACCAUGGUGAUAACGGGUAACGGAGGAUAAGGGUUUGACUCCGGAGAGGAUGCCUUAGAGACGGCAACCACAUCUAAGGAAGGCAGCAGGCGCGCAAAUUACCCACUCUCAAUUCGAGGAGGUAGUGACGAAAAAUAACGAGACCGUUCUCUUUCGAGGCCGGUCAUCGGAAUGGGUACAAUUUAAACCCUUUAACGAGUAUCUAUGAGAGGGCAAGUCUGGUGCCAGCAGCCGGGGUAAUUCCAGCU